UAAAGAGCCUGUUCCUGUUUGGGUAUUAAACUGUGCUGGCAAAGUGCAUGGAAACAGAUGCUCUAGGGGAAAGGCUGAGAGAGGACAGUGCUCCCGAGAGUAUUUUGUUUUAUGAAGGAACUCUAUUAUGACUUUUCUAUCCMCCCCCCCCCCCCAAAGUACACUGGUGAGCUGUCAUCUUAGAGGUAAUUUAUUACAUCUGCAGUCAAAUGUUGCUAUGUCCUUACCAAAAAUAUAAAGUGCAGCAAACUUUUCUGACUUUCAUGGUCCAUAAUACUCAAAAAAGGCUUCCUCCACAUCCUAGAUAUAAAAAAAAUACUUUCACUUUUAUCUAGCAAAAUAAUUUUUCAGAAAGUCUGAUAGUAAAAAUGUUAAAGGUAGGCACAAAUUAUUCAAGUUGUUUACUUUGUCUAAUGACUUACAUUAAACCUCAGUGUUCAUAGGAACAGCCCCAUCUCUGUUCUUUUAGCCCUUCUGGGGCAGGUGCAAAGAGAAGAAUGAAACUCCACAAAACCUGUUCUGGGCUAUGGUUAAAAUUUCGGGCUAGUUCUUAGUCAUCUGAAUGCGGUCAUUCAACCCAAGUAAAUGUGGCUGUUACAUUUUGUUUCAGAGUCUGGUGUCAAAUAUGCCUGUGGGCAUAUUUGGGCAAUCAUCAUCUGGUUUCAACAUCUUAAUAAACUUCUCAGGGGAAAGGAGAGGCUGUAUUGAAGAAGAUGAUAAAAGGAAUGGCAAAGGAACUCUACAGAAAUGAAAAAAUACCACUCACUGAACAAUGAAGAAGCUGAUGCUUGUUGUGGCAGAGGACUUCCAGUGGCCAAGUAUGAACUUGACCUCAGGCUGGGAAGGACACUGUGCCAAAGUAGUACCAGAAACUUGUAUUCUUACAAGCUUGAAGAAAUGGUUGUAUGCAGAAGAAUUUUGACUUUCAGCAUGGUACACCAGUGUCAGAAAUGUUGUGCUCAUGCGCCUUUGUGAGGAUCAGGACCCACUGCGGCAAACAUAAACCCACCUGGCAUGGCUCUACUCUUGCUCCAGAAGGUUGUGGCUCAUUGUUCGAGAGACCAAUGGGUGAGCCAAAAACAGGAGGAAAAGCAGAGGAGAAAGCCUGCAACACAUCUACUCAGAUGAUAGACUCUG
ensembl:lncRNA